GUGGAUGGCUCACGAUUGCUCAUGUGGUUCGUUGCUCAACGGAACAAAUUGUUCAUUAACUGUGGGCCUAAUGCUCUAACAAAUGUCCCAGGAACAUUGCUGCGGUGGACCACACGACGAUGGAAUUAAGCUAAUCAAAUAAGCCUCCAGUCAUGUCCUAUCAGACAGCUCCAGACUGUAGCAAAUGAGCCCACGUCGCAAAAUUUACAUUUCGUCUUCCCCAGGGGACAGGUUGGGUCCCACCUCACCACUACUUUUCUCCCCAAUCAGCAUCUGGCUCCUGGAGGAAGAAGAUGGAAAUGGGGAAAAAGAGAGAUGUGAUAGUUCCUGGCUGUACAGUGAAGCCGCUGAACCUCUCCUGCCACUUCCUGGGCACGCUUCUGAUGAAUAAGGGAGAGAAAAUAGAGAAGAUGACAGCAGGGGAAAUAUUUGCUGUUGCGGUUGGAGUGCCACUCAGAUCCCAAGAAUGAGGGCCAGGCAUAUUUGCGCAGCUGUCCAUUUCCCAAGCGCCGAGUGCAUGAGUGUGGGCCCGCUGGAGACUAUUUGUUUGUCAAAGUCACUAUGGCUGCGAUCUAUGCCAGAAACAAGGAAGAAGGAGAGACUAUGCUCCAAGAGAGAGUUGGGAUGCAAGGAGAGCCAAACAGAUGCCCUCAUAAUUCCUAACUUGUCUCCUUGCUGCCUUCGUCCUUCCAGAUGCUCACUAACUUGUCAUCUCCCAUUCUUUUGUGGAGUAUAGGCCUAUAGAGAAAAUGUAUGCACCCCAUGCAAAUGUGUUAUUUUCUUAACAUAUUUUGAACUGCUAUUCCCUGCAGCAAUAAGUAAAUUAAAUGAAAGCAAUGCACAGAUGCAACUGUAAACACAAAACAUAACCAGAGCUAACACUAGAGGCAAACAUGCAGCGCUAAUGGUGUAAUAAUAAAUAAAUGUUGUUGUUUUUUAUUGUGGUGAACCUGCUGUACUGUAAUAAAAGCCAACUCCAUCUA